rnacentral:rRNA from 1 species
GUUAGGAAUAUUGGACAAUGGGCGCAAGCCUGAUCCAGCCAUGCCGCAUGAGUGAUGAAGGCCUUCGGGUUGUAAAGCUCUUUAGUCCACGAAUAUAAUGACUGUAGUGGAAGAAUAAGCCCCGGCUAACUUCGUGCCAGCAGCCGCGGUAAUACGAAGGGGGCGAGCGUUAUUCGGAAUCACUGGGCGUAAAGCGUGCGUAGGCUGUUUUGUAAGUCAGAAGUGAAAGCCCAGGGCUUAACCCUGGAAUUGCUUUUGAAACUACAAGACUCGAAUUCGGGAGAGGAUAGCGGAAUUGUCAGUGUAGCAGUGAAAUGCGUAGAUAUUGACAGGAACACCAGUGGCGCAAGCGGCUAUCUGGACCGAUAUUGACGCUGAGGCACGAAAGCGUGGGGAGCAAACAGGAUUAGAAACCCGAGUAGUCC